GAGAAGGUAGCUCAGUGGUAGAAUGCUUGCCUUGCAUGCAAGAGGCCCUGGGUUCAAUUCCUCAGCAUCA
rfam:Dipodomys ordii contig_2890, whole genome shotgun sequence.